CGGCGGCUGGGGCCGGGGACGCAUCUUUUCUGGGCGUUCGUCGGCCGGGAGGAAGGGCGGGAGCCCCAUCCCGGUAAAGGAAUGACAAAGGACAUACUGUUGCUUCCUAACAGACCUCAUUUGAGAGAUCUUUUUCUGCGAAAAAUCUCCCAGUUGGACAGAGGAUGCCUGGGACUCAUUUCAUUGCUUGCAAUGAUCAUUUGAGAAAGAGGUAAGAUACCAAGUGUUGUGUGAAUCUACAAGUUUGGGAAAUUCUGAGCUAGGAGGCUGUUCCAGUAAUCCAGGCAGGAAAUGAUGGAGACUUGGUCUGGAUUGGAAAUGGAGGAAAGCGGUCAAAAGUGGACAAAUUUUUGAUACAAUUUGAAGGUAAGGCAGAUGGAAUUUGCUGAUGUUCUGGAUGUGUGGUUGGGGGAGAGAGGAGUCCAAGGAUUUCAAAGGUUCCUGGACUGAGUAACUAGAAAAAUUGUAUUACCAUGAAUGGAGAUGAAGGAAACUGUGUAUGGACCAGUUUUUUGUAGUGUGUGUGUGUGUGUGUGUGUGUGUGUGUGUGUGUGUGUGUGUGUCUGGGGAGGAGGCAGAUGGGAGAUGCUGUUUUGUGCAUGU